GUGAGAUUACAUACCACAUGAAAUCUUGAUUCCUUGCUGCCUAAGCAAUCGAAAAUGAAGAGAAACGGUGUGAAGAUCAGGGCUAUUACUGUCAAUAUAGUUUGGACAUAACUUUUGUAUUGCAUCUUCUAUUUCUUUCUCAAAGUGAUAAGCCACCCCCAGGCGUUGUACUUCAUCAAUCAAGCGUAACUUCUGAACAGGCUUAUCUUCAGCAUCUGUUAUCAUUCUCCUUACCUCUUCUUUCAGUGCCUCGUGUCGUUCUUGAGUUGCAGUAUGAUCAACUGUCUGAAGCACAAAAAAUAAUUUGUUAAAUUCAUACAAUAUCUGAUGAAUGGUCAAUUUAAAAAAAAAAAAAGCUGCUUUAAAACCAUUUGGUCAAACUCCUGAAGAUACGGUACAUGCUCACUUAACAAAUCGAGUCAUAUAUGGGAUGUUUGGGUUCAUCUUUACCUUGAAAUCAGAAGCACCUUUGAGGAAAUGGUUUCUCCAUAAACUAGGAUGGAAAUCUGCAGUAGGACGAAAUGUUUCUCCAGACGACAUUUUUGUGUCAGACAAACGGGUGCUGCAGAAUUUUGAUAUUUCUGUGGAAUUAUAAUUUGUAUUUCUACUACUACUGCACCCUUUAAUAUAUACUAAUUCGAUUAUAUCAAGACGGACGCAUGCAACUUGUCUUGAAAGCCUUUUAAUUUAAUUUAUUAUCAAUUCCGAUUCAUUUAAACGCUUGGAUGCAUGGAAACCACGUGAUGGGUCAAUUUUUGACUUUCUGUUAGAUUCUCAAAAUUGUGUCAAUUUUUUUUUCUUUUUCUUUUUGGCCUAUUUAUAACUUAUGGUUUUAAUGGAAAGAUUUUAGUGCAUAUCUGUAUCAUAUUGACAAGUGACAACAACUAGUGUAUUUACUGGGAUAAUUAUUUUUCAGGUAACUCGUUCUCUGUUUAAUCGCAACAAAAUGGCUUGUCUCUAAUUAGAGUUUGAUUAUAUGUUUAAGCUCUUGGUUCUAUUUAGAGUUAGGACUCCAGAAAGUGUUCGUAGAGUUUACACGUACAAGAGAAAUUUUGUUGCUUGCAAUAUUUGGCAUGUAAGGCGGAUGAAAAAUAGGCUUGGGCAUAUGUAUUACAUUGUUUCGGAGUUAGUGCUGAGAUUUUGGCUAACUUUUUAGAAAUAUAUAAUUAGUAGUUAUUUGGAUAAAAAUAUAAAACUAAUUAAAUUUUAACUAUGUAUACGUUUAGGUAUGGAAAAAUACUAUAAAAAGUUUAGCACAGUUAAACUCAGUAUUGGAUCCAAAUCUGUAAUACAUGGGAACUAUUGAACCUAUCAAGAAGAGCUGACUUGUUAGAAAGAAGAUAUCUUGAUAAAGUUGGCAUGUCUCUUGUAAAGAGAAAAAAAAAAAUUAUUAGAAAAGAGAUGGCAUAAAACCAUUAGUAAUUUUGUUGCCUUAAAAACAAAAAUUUAAUGAAGAUCGAACGUCGUGAGCAAAAACGGAAUUCAAAAAUAAAUUUCGUGAUUAAGAAAUUUAUGAAUUAUUCACAGGAUUACAAUUUCUUGAGAAUUAAGUAGUCAAAAUAGGAGAGCUAACCGAAUUUAAUUUGAUCUAAUUUAUUUAACCAACAGUCCGUAAUUAAUUGGAUUUGAUUUGAUUUUCUUAUUUUUUUAUUCAACUCAAUCUUCCAAGGACGAAAUAAAAUUUGAUCCAAUUUUAUUCAAUUUAAAAAUAACCAAUCUAAAUAACAACAAAAUCAUAUUGUAAAUAUCGAUUCGAAUCAAAUUAAUUAAUUUAAAAGUAUAGUAUUUUCAAAAUAUUUUUUAGAUAUGAUGGUUUUGAGUUUUUAAUCUAUAAUACGUGAUGGAAUGGGGUCAGGUACAAUUUCUAGUACUUUCAUAAAAAGAUUUUAGAUACACGGGUUUUGACCUUUUAUUCUAUAAUACAUGAUGGAGAGAGAUCAGAUAUAAUUAAAAUAAUUCUAUAUUUAUUUUUUUAUUAUAUUUUAUUAUAUAAUAAUGGAGAUUGAUUUUUUUUAGUAAUUAUAGCUAUUUUAAAUUUUUUAUUCCAGAUUUUAUCUUAAAUGAUCGGUUAUUUAUUAAAUGGUUGAUAAUUUUUUUAUAAGAUUCAGGUAAAUUAAUUGUAUUAUCUUAUCAUCCAAUUGAUGUAUGUUAUAUCACUUGGAUAUUUUUUAGGAUAAAAAAUUUAGAAUGUAUGGCACUACUCUUUUUUUUUUUUUUUUGGUGAGAUUAUUUGAACCCACUAAAUUACUCUCAACACUAAUUUGCUUAAUAAAUCCAUGACUAAAGUUUAAAAAUAAAAAUUUACUUUAUAUGCUCACCUAAAUGCCCGAUUUACCCCUAUCUCUUUGUAACAUUAUUUGAAAAGCAAAAAGAAGAGAAAGGGGAAAAAACUUGACAUGGUAUCUUUUAGAUCGGAAAAGAGAGAAGCUUGAUUGUUGGAAUACAUAGAUAAUCCAAAUCCAAAUCUCAUUUCCAUCUUAAAUCGGUAAUCCAAUUUGGCUACCAUUACAACCAGUAAGUUUAUUUUUUCAAAUUAGAAUACAACAUGCACUACUAGAAAAAUGGUCUUUACUGAUACUUAGUUCGUGACACUUUAUUAAAAAGUAUCAGUAUUUACAUAUAUAUGGACCAUUUUCCGUGUUUAACAUAUAAGUAUCACAAAAUACUAAUACUAUGGUGUCUCUAAAUUAAACAUCAGAGAUUACUGACACUAAAGUAUCUGUAAAAAAUUUAAAGUAAUUCUGAUAUUGGUCCCGAUAAAACUUGAACCCAAGACCUAUAAAAAUUAAGCUUUUAAGUUUUAAACAAAAGCCAUUAUAAUUUUUUGCAAUGACACUAAGGUAUCGCUAACUGUUAAAAAAAAACAAAAACAAAAACACACGCACGCAUUCACACAUGACACCUCACCCCACACACUCACAAGACGCAAAAACAAACCCUAAGUCCUUAACAAUUAACAUUACAAUACUUUGAAAGAGAGAGAGAGAGCGCCGCUACUCUCGAUCCAGUGCUCCAACACCGGCUCAGAUCUCUCGCUUUUAUAUCACCGCGUCAAGCCUCUCCGUCAUGCCGUCAAGCCUCCAUCAAGUGUCACUGCUUCAAGCCUCCAUCAAGUGUCAUUGCGUCAAGCCUCUCUGUCACGCUGUCAAGCUUCCAUCAUGCGUCACCGCGUCAAGCCUCUCUCCGCUGUCAUAAGCCACCGAUGCGGCACCGCGCCAUUGGUAGUGUCGUUAAGGUGCACCAAAUUUAAAACCUUACCACUAAUAUAAAUAAUUAGUACAGAGCGAGUAAGGAUUGAUCCCACAGAGAUUAUACUAGUUAUAUUUAUUAUUAACUCUAAAGCAAGAUUUGAAAUAAAAUAAUGGUAGUAAUAAUAAGAGUAAUAAUAAUAUAAAUUAAUCUAACUAAAGAAAAUGCCAAUUAUAAAUAAAAAGGGGGUUUAUGAAUUUUUUAACUAAAUAGUAAGAAGUAAAGAAAUUAAAACUACGAACAAGAAUUUAAUAAAAACUCUAAUUAAAAGAAAAAGAAAUAAUAAUGAUGAAAACUUUGGUUAAAGGAUGAUUCGCCACCACCAAACAUGCACAUAAUAUAUCAAUUCUAUUAUCAAUUUAUAUUGAAACUAUCAACCGUAGACAACAAUAAGCUCUGUUAGUCUCAAUCUUUCCUUAGUGUGUUGUUAGGCAAAACAAGCUCUUCACAUAAUCUCUAACCAUUAAAUAAUUUAAAACAAGCUCUUUCAAUUUAAGAUAAUGGAAGCAUUAAAUAAAGAAAGAUAUUAUGUUGAUCUAGGCAAUAAACACACAAGCUCGGAUUAUUUAACCUAGGUUAUGUUCUUCAAUUGAAAUCACUAAUUCCAACCUGCUACUAAUGAUUAAAAUAUCAAGACAAUUACGGAUCAAGAAUUUUAAUCUAGCAAUAAAAUUUAUUCAAGUCCUAUCUAAUUGGCCACUCAAAUAAAACAAGAAUAAACCAUGAACAUUAAUUAUAGAAGAACAUAAACAAUCUCAAUUAAAUAAAUUGAAUGAUAGAAUUUAAAUUUAAUUGCAUAGCAUGUUUAGGGUUUUGAAUUCACCCUCAACCAAAUAAAAAUCUAGCCUAACAUAAUUGAAUUGGGAAUAAGAGAAUUGAUAAAACCAGUCAUGGAGAUUAAUUCAAGCGGCUGCCUUUGCUUCAAUUUUAAUUCCUUCCGGCGUCUCCCUUGUUUUUUUCCUUCUUGCAGCUGCAAUCUCAAAUUCUCUUGCUACCGAUUCUCCUCCAGUGUUGCUUCUGCUUGAUCCUAUUUAUAAUGCUUCAAUUGUGGCUUUUUUAAAUCCUUGCCUGGAAAGAAUUAAAUUCAAAGCCCAAAACCGCCACUUUCAUGCUUCAAUUAAUAAGCCAAUAAUGAUUUCCUAAAGCCAAAAGGCUUUAUUCUCUUUCCUUUCAUGUGGCCACUUUUGAUUUGCAAUCUUUGUUUUCCAAUUUUGCUUUCAUGUGAUGGCUUGGCUUGUUAAUUGGCUUGGCUUCCUUUUUGACUUUCAUUUUCUAAUUUUAGCUCCAUGUACAACAUUAAUUUUGCUUGGCCGAUACAAGCUUUAAUUAAAUUUAUUUUCUAAUUCCUUUCAAUUCUUGAUCUCUUGUGCACUUUUGUCUUUCAAUCUUCAAUCAAAUUUCUUUCCUGAAUGCUCCGAUUUAAUUUCUCUUUAAUUCUAGAAUAUACCUAAAAUAACAAAAUAAAUAAAACUAAGAUAAAAAUUAACACAAUAAAAUAUAAUUUACUAAAUUAAAAGUUAACUAAAAUAACUAGAAUAUUUAAGACCAAAACAAGAAAAAGAUAGAGAAAUUAAUAGCAAAAUAUAUGGAAAAUAUGCACUUAUCAGCCAUCACUAGCCAACCAGCCACCAAAAUUGACAGCCGUGCUAGCUACCCACCACCACAAUACCCUACCACUGCCUGCUAAUACUCCACAAAAUCUUCUCAAGACUUCGAGCCACAGUGUCCAGGUCUGCUUUUUCAAGUCUUGCUUUUUUAAGUUUUUAGUAUCAUCAAGUCUUGCUUCUUCAAGUCUUAAAGUGUAUCUUCAGUCACCAAUUAUAUUUAUGGGUAUUCACUGGUUCGUUGAGUAAUUUUUUCAAACAUAUGGGGUAUUGCGUCAUAACAGCCUUGUAUAUUUCUAUAUCUAAUAUUGAAUGAAUGAAUGAAUCUAUGUGUAGCUUACGAUCGAAAUGCAAAAUCAAGAGUAGUAACAAUUAAAGAACAAUUAAAAAUGAAAUGAAAGCAUAUUCACAAGUUGUUUAUUGAUUUACCUUUCAAUAAAUCUCUCUCUCACACUCACACACUCUGCUCUCUAACCUACCUUUUUGACUUGGCUCCCAAAAAAUAAUAAAGUAAAAUUUUGGUCCCAAGAAAGUUUGAUUUCUAAACAAAGGGGAAAAAAAAGUUAAAAGAAAGUAAGAUUUAUUUUACAAAUUUUACGGUGCUUCUCUUUUAGAACUGUAUGUAUAAAUAAUAAUAAUAAUAAUAAUAAUAAUAAUAAUAAUAAUAAUAUGAGUUUCAUAGAAAAUUUAAUUUAUUUGAUCAUGUUCAUUGAUAUGCUUUAACAAUGCUUUAUUAAUUCUAUUAAUUGCACUUCUUAACUCCUACUUAUCAUAUGAUUAACCCCUUAGUUUGGUUGGGAUGAUUGGUACUUUCUAUUUUUAACUUAUGGUGGAGCGUUUGAGUCUUGCGGUGACCUAUUAGUUUGGUUAAGUUGAUCGGCACUUUCUAUCUUUAACUUACGAUGGAGCAUUCGAGUCUGGCAGUAAAUAUAUAUUAGAGUUUAUUUUUUUAUUCGAAGGGAAAAUCUUUAAAUAACAAUAAAAAUAUAAAAUAUUUAUUAGUACAGACCAAUACGGUACACCGUAUUUCCUUCAAACACAAACCAAGGAACUGAAAAUAUUAUUAAUAGAAGUAUAGAACUAGUCGUCAAAAUGGAACGUGGUCUCCUAGCACAGAAGCAAUUUGAUCUUUAAUUAGGUAAGAAUGCGUAUAGCCGUCGUCCUCUUUGUAAAUAAAAUCAAUUGCACGAGCAAGAUUAAGAAUCGUCCCGAGCAGUGGUCGGGCAACGACGGUUGGCUUCAUCAUCAACUCCUCGUUAAUAUCUUUCCAUGCAUUUGCAACUUCUUCUUCAAACAUUUUAAUUGCCUCUUCCUUAGAGACACCAUGCUGCUUCGUGUAACAUUCAAUAGCUGACGCAACAUGUCCUCUCUUCUGCUCAAACUACAUAUAUAAUAACAUAUGGUUUAGUAUCGGUGCCUGUUUAGAUUGGUAUAUAUUAGGAGAUUUAUAAGUAAUUAUAGUAAUUAUUCAAAAAAUUAAAAGUUAAUUUUGAUGUAUACACACACACACCCCACUUUUCAGUGCGCAGAUUUUUUAAAAAUAUAAUAACAUAGAUUGGAGGGUUUUGAUAAAUUUUCUAUAAAAGUGCGGGGUUAUGUAAGCAGUGGAAAAAACUAUAAGGGGAUGUAGUGCCAUUUUCACUUAAUUUAAUUAGUAGUUAGUAAAGUAUUUUUUAUUUUGCAUACCUCAUGACCUUGCAUGUCAUCCAAGAGUCUGCAGAUAACUGAUGCUGCUUUUACAACCUUAGGGUUAUCGGAGAUCCAUUCAAAAACCUCUUUAGUUGCAAAAUCACCCAUCCCAAGGAAGGAAUUUGUUAUGACGAAUGUGUAAGCACAACUUGUUAGUGCAAUAGGCAUAUACUCCUCAAUUGUUGGAACGUAACCUUCACUGAACCAUUUGGCUUGAACAAAGUAUGCUCCAAUUACUUUUUGAUUCUGAGAAGCAAAACGCAGCUAAACCUUAGCCGUUAUAAAAACAAUAAUAAGAAAUAAGUUUUUAAAUUUUAAUAUACCUGUUGUGAUAUAUUAAUUUGAUCUAAUUAAUUUCUAAGAGCCAAUAAUUCAGUAAGAUUUAUGGUUGACGAGUAAGAUUUCUCAUCUCCAUCCGAACAAUACAAUAAAAAAGGAAACAGCCUCCAUCAUCGAACACACUUUUGAUAAGUUUUAUGUAACCUAAAAAAUAGCUCCAAGGGUUUAAGCUAAUUAUCCAAUUAAUUCUUACAUUUGUAAUAAUUCAGGGAGAGGUGUGAAAAUUUUAGCAAAAUUUCAGGGGGGUGAAUGAAAUAUGUCUAAAAUUUUGUGAAACUUAAAUUUACCCAUAGAUAUUUGAUGUAAUUUUGUGGGUGGAGUAGAUAUUCCUCCCAAAAUUGUGUACAAUACACAUAUCGGUAAUUUAAAGGAAAAAAAAAUAGGGAGGAUGAUGCAUACCGCCUCUUUUGCAUAACGUACGCAGUGUGAUCUUCCUUGCUUGGCCAUAUCUUCCUCAAUUUCAUUAAAAGCAUCUAAGAGUGUCCUGUAAAUCAAUUUCAUGUAUUCUGGAAGCGUAUCUACGGCCUCAAUAUUCCAUCUGGAAAUCAAUUUAAUAACCAUUUUAUAAUAAUAGCAACAAAAAUUUAAUUCUGAAAUUCAAAAUUAAUUAGCUAUACGCAGGGCACUAACCUUUGAACUGCUUCAGUAAAGAGGCUGAGUUCUUCAAGUGUACCAUACGCAUCAUAAGUAUCAUCUAUGAUGGAUAAUAUGUAAUUUAAUUGGGUCAUUAUCUUUCUCCCAAAUGCAUAUUGAGGCUCGAAGUAUGUCCCUAAAUCCCAAAAAUAUAACUCCACUAAUCUGUCUCUUGCAUAAGGUAGUUUUGUAGUGAAGUCUAAUUCUUUCCACCACCUGAAAUAAGAAUAUAUACAUGUGUCACGAUUCUAUUGAUUGGAUAUACGACGGAGGUAUAAAAGAAUUUCUCCCUAUCGAAAGAACUUACUUUGUUAAUUCAUUGAGUUCCUCCUUGUGCAGCUCUAGCAAUAUGUUAAAAUCUAACUUUGCAAAAUUCAGCAGAGUUUUAUUGUAUAAAUGAUCACUUGUUGAAUUGAUCAUGGACAUAAAAUACCUCGCCUCUAAUCUUGGUAGGGUUUUACGAAGAGGACGGUAUAAAGCAUGAUUUAUCUGUUCCGCAAGCUUAGGGGUUACAUGAUCCUGAGCUACCAAUGACUUCAGGUGAGUGGUAGUGAAAGCAAUGGCUUCAUCUAAUAUAUGUUCUCCGCGAACUGCCAUGUAUGCUGCCUCGUACAAACUUAACAUCCCUUGAACAUCGUUUAUCAACGAUGACUUGAAUCUACCCUCAUCAUCUUUGAACUUCUCAAACACAUCUGAUUAUCACAUUCAAAAAGUAAAUUACUGAAGGCUUACAUGAUUAAUAAUUAGUCAAUGAUUUUGUAAUUGCAAUAAUGUUAGAGCCACAAAUUCUUCAUACAUUACAAACUCAUCAAGUCGCAUCAUAAUUUUGGUUAGAUAAAAAUACCAUUACAAACUCAUGAAGUCGCAUCAUAAUUUUGGUUAGAUAAAAAUACCACAUGACUUAUUUUCAUUAUUAUUUUUAUUAAUCAAUCAAUACUCUUAUAUGAAAAUAAAAAAGUAGGGUGAGGGUAAAAUCUAAAUUGAUAUUUUAGCCCCGGCCUAGCUUACAAUAUUUUAGCCCCGGCUUAGCUUACAAUAUUCAAACUCAAGUGGUUAGCUAAAGAAAACUACUUGAAAAUCAGUCGUCCAAAUCUCUAGAGACAAAUACAAUAAAAAGUGUUUGUGACUGUCGCAUUACUCACAAUUGUAAUAGCUUGAGUGAGAUUACAUACCACAUGAAAUCUUGAUUCCUUGCUGCCUAAGCAAUCGAAAAUGAAGAGAAACGGUGUGAAGAUCAGGGCUAUUACUGUGAAUAUAGUUUGGACAUAAUUUUUGUAUUGCAUCUUCUAUUUCUUUCUCAAAGUGAUAAGCCACCCCCAGGCGUUGUACUUCAUCAAUCAAGCGUAACUUCUGAACAGGCUUAUCUUCAGCAUCUGUUAUCAUUCUCCUUACCUCUUCUUUCAGUGCCUCGUGUCGUUCUUGAGUUGCAGUAUGAUCAACUGUCUGAAGCACAAAAAAUAAUUUGUUAAAUUCAUACAAUAUCUGAUGAAUGGUCAAUUUAAAAAAAAAAAAAAAGCUGCUUUAAAACCAUUUGGUCAAACUCCUGAAGAUACGGUACAUGCUCACUUAACAAAUCGAGUCAUAUAUGGGAUGUUUGGGUUCAUCUUUACCUUGAAAUCAGAAGCACCUUUGAGGAAAUGGUUUCUCCAUAAACUAGGAUGGAAAUCUGCAGUAGGACGAAAUGUUUCUCCAGACGACAUUUUUGUGUCAGACAAACGGGUGCUGCAGAAUUUUGAUAUUUCUGUGGAAUUAUAAUUUGUAUUUCUACUACUACUGCACCCUUUAAUAUAUACUAAUUCGAUUAUAUCAAGACGACGCAUGCAACUUGUCUUGAAAGCCUUUUAAUUUAAUGAGAAAUUUACAACCGUCCACCUGUUUGUUUUGUCUUUUUAAAAAAUACACAAACACUUUUUUUUUUCAGCGCGCCACGUGAAGUUUGCUUUUUGUUGCAUUCGUCCAUUUUCGUCUAAUUUCUGUUAGCGAAUUUAACGGAAUGACCUUUUUACCCCUCAAAAUUACAAUUUAACCUAAAAUAAAUAGAAAUUGGAGAUAAAUUGGAUGGAUUUAAUUUUUUUCAAAGGUGGAUGCUAGAAAUUAGAGGAAAAUAAUGUUUGUUACUAAAUUUAGAAACUUUGUAUUUAUUUUUUUGGAGGAAAAUAGUGUUUGUUGCUUACUAGAUUUAGAAAAUUUGUAUUUAUUUUUUCUCUUUCAAAAAAAUAAAUACAAAUUUUUUAAAUUUAGCAAGCAACAAACACUAUUUUCCUCCAAUUUCUAGCAUCCACCUUUGAAAAAAAUUAAAUCCAUCCAAUUUAUCUUCAAUUUCUAUUUAUUUUGAGUUAAAUUGUAAUUUUGAGGGGUAAAAAGGUCAUUUCGUUAACAUUCCGUUAAAUCCACGAACGGAAAUUAGACGGAAGUGGACGAAUGCAACAAAAAACAAACUUCAGGUGGCGUGCUGAAAAAAAAAUAUUUGUGUAUUUUUUAAAAAUGCAAAAUAAACAGGUGGACCAUUGUAAAUUUCUCUAAUUUAAUUUAUUAUCAAUUCCGAUUCAUUUAAACGUUUGGAUGCAUGGAAACCACGUGAUGGGUCAAUUUUUGACUUUCUGUGAGAUUCUCAAAAUUGUGUCAAUUUUUUUUUCUUUUUUUUUUGGCCUAUAUAUAACUUAUGGUUUUAAAGGAAAGAUUUUAGUGCAUAUCUGUAUCAUAUUGACAAGUGACAACAACUAGUGUAUUUACUGGGAUAAUUAUUUUUCAGGUAACUCGUUCUCUGUUUUAUCAUGUAAUAAUGGAGAAUGAUUUUUUUUGAGUAAUUAUAGGUAGUUUAAAUUUUUUAUUCCAGAUUUUAUCUUAAAUGAUCUGUCAUUCAUUAAGUGGUUGAUAAUUUUUUAUAAGAUUCAGGUAAAUUAAUUGUACUAUUUCAUCAUCCAAUUUAUGCAUGUUAUAUCAUUUGGAUAUUUUUUAGGAUAAAAAAUUUAGAAUGUGUAGCACUAUUGUUUUCUUUUUUUGAGGUUAUUUGAACCCACUAAAUUACUCUCAACACUAAUUUGCUUAAUAUAUCCAUGACUAAAGUUUAAAAAUAAAAUUUUACUUUAUAUACUUAUCUAAAUGCCCGAUUUACCCCUAUCUCUUUCUAACAUUAUUUGAAAAGAAUAAAGAAGAAAAAGGGAAAAAAAAACUUGACAUGGUAUCUUUUAGAUCGAAAAAGAGAGAAGCUUGAUUGUUGGAAUACAUAGAUAAUCCAAAUCCAAAUCUCAUUUCCAUAUUAAAUUGGUAAUCCAAUUUGGCUACCAUUACAACCAGUAAGUUCAUUUUUUCAAAUUAGAAUAUGACAUGACUGAAACUAAUUUGUUUUCUUUAGGUCUUUGUCAGGAUUUCACAACACUUUAAGAGUUCGAGAGAAACACGUUUGAGUUGGAAAGAAAUUCGAAUUCAAGAAGAGUUUGAUAAAACAUAAUAUUUAGAAGAAAAAAAUGUUUAAACAAUCCAUUUAGGGGUUGUUUGUUUUUUCUUUUUUCUGAAGUCUGAAUUUUACUUAUUUUCAUAAAUUUACGAUUUUUAAUUUAUUUGUUUUUUAUAUUAGUUUUGAACAGAAAAAAGUUAAAUAUUCUAACUUUUAUUUGAAUGACAAAACAUCUUAAUGGAACUUUAAUAUUUUAUCUCAUUAAUACCCCUAUUAAAUAAAUUUAUUUCCUAUUUUAUAAAUUAUUCUUUUAUUCUUUUUUAUUUAUCUUUUUUUUUUGGUUAUAUGCAUGUAUUCAAGUUUUUUUUUUUUUUUUUUUGUGAAUGAGAAUUUUAAACAUAAUUAAACUUUAGGUAACUGUAUUUUAUAAUGGACAAUAGAAUGGACAUUAAUUUGCGUAAUUAAAUUAAUGGUCGAUAUUUGUUAAAGAAACCAUUUGAUUCAAAACUUUAAGUUAAAGAGUAAGAGCUUAAAAGAGCCCCUUAAGUGAAAUAUAGAAUAAGACAAGAAUACUUUGGACAUGAACUCAUAGAUAUCCUAAAACAAGAGAAUUCGAAAGUGCUCACCAGGAGCAUUAAAGAUAAAUCUUAUUAAUAAGUUGCCGCACCUAAAACAUGAAUUAAGACUUGAGAAGUUGAGACAAUAGCUCAUAAAUGAUCCCAAAGACAACAAAGUAAAUAAUAAUAAUAAUAAUAAUAAUAAUAAUAAUAAUAAUAAUAAUAAUAAUAAUUGGAACAAUUGAUUGGGAGAAUCAAGGUGAGACAUUGGCUCUAAUCCUGCAUAACAAAAUUGUUUGGCUCAAAAUUUAAACUAAUAGGUAAGGUUCAACAAUAAUAUCGAAGAUAAUUCUGAACAUAAUUAAUAAGGUAUGGUGAUUAUUUAGCAGUUGCCAAAAAAAUAAAUUAUUUAAAGUUGUUUUGUUCGGACUUGCAGCAUAUUGUACUUUCGCUUCGGCAACAAAAUAAUUUAACAUUGUUAGAGUGGGAUUAUGUUGACCUGACCAGAAAACCAUCGGGGAUAGCCAGAGCGAACCCAUCUAACUUGAAUUGAUCAACGGUUUUGUUUUGGGACUUGAAAUUUUAUAACAUCUUAAUUAUCAUGAAUUUUUAUUUAUUUAGUAUUUUAAUUUUUUAUUUAUUUAGUAUUUUAAUUUUUUAACUCUCACACACGCACACAGACGCGCGCGCGCACGUUCACACAAAACAUAUAUAUUUGAUUGGAACUUGAACCUACUCUAAUAUAAUUUAUGCGGUAUAUCAUAGAUUGGGGAAAAAAAAAUCCGUCAUUAGUCACAGUUAAGUAUGACCAAUACAAGUGUUUAGAAUAAGACAUAUUGCUGUCUUAAUAACAAAAUGUUAACCAACGUUUUGUUUUUAAGAUGUGAUUGUAUUUUGAUCUCAUCAAUUAAUAAGUCUAAUCACUCAUUUCUUGGAGGAAAACUUUCCCAAAAUCUACACUUGCAUUGACUUAUUUCAAUUAAAAAUAUCUUUAAAAAGUUUUUUAAAUGAGAUUAAUUUCACAUCUCAUUUGAAGAGGGGUGUCAACAAUAAGAAUUUCAAGAAAUUUUUUAAAUGAGAUUUUUCAAAUGAAACUAUCGUUCUCUUUCUUUAAUGUUACAAAGUGACUUCUCCUUCUUCAAAUAAUAUUAUAUUAUUUUUAUAUAACUACGAUUGAAGAGACACGAUUAUUAUAACUAUAUUAUUGAAAAAUAGAGGGCAUAAUUCAAUCUGGUGAGAAAAUAAUUUUAUUAAAAUUAUUUUUAUUUGAAGAGUUUUUUAAAGAAUACAUUAUUUUUAUUAUUUUAUUUACUAUAUAGAUAAGUGAAUAAAUAUUUGAAAAAUAAAAUUAGAUGAGAGACACUUUGACAUUAAGUAUUAAAAUGGAAAAUUUUCUGAUGGGAACGACUUAAUUAUCAUAUCAUUUAAUACAUGUGUUGAAAAUUUGAAAAAGAAACAAGCGCAUUAUUACUCCAAAUCAAAUAAGGGUAAAGGGUGAUUGAUCACACCAAUGGUGCGUUUACUUCAUGGAAUGAGAAUGAGGUGAAAUAGGAACGGGCUGAAAUGAGAAUAAGGAAUGAGAAUGAAAUUCAAAUGUUUACUUGACAUAAAUGAGAAUGAGAAUGUGCUGAAAUGCCAUUGAUGUAUUUACUUGGCAAAAUAAAUGGGAAUGAGGAAUAAGAAUGAUAAUCAAUUUACCAAAAUACUCAUAGUAUUAAAGAAUGUAAUUUUCAUUAACUAGAUACAUGUAUAAAUAUUAUUAUAAAAUGAUAUUAAUUAAAAAAAUAAAAUUAAUAAUAAUAAAUGUUAAUAAUGAUAAUAUUAAUAAAUAAUAAUAAUAAAAUAAUUAAUAAUAACUAAAAUAAUAAAAUUAAUAAAAUUUAAUAAUAAUAAUAACAUUUAAAAUAAUAAAAUUAAUUGUGAUUUGAACGAUGGUAAUUCGGUAAAUAUGAAAAAAUUAAAAGGAUACAAAAGUCAGUUCAGGGAAUGAGAAUCUCAUUCCCAACCCCCUCAUGAGAAUGAGAUUCUCAUUCUUUAUUCCCAAAUUAUAUAGGACUCACACAUUUUAUUCUCAUUCUCUAAUAAUAUUUUGUCAAGUAAAGAUGAGUUUCAUUUUUAUUCCCUAAACCCUCAAGUAAACACACCAUAGAUGAAAUUUGGUGGCCCAAUUAAUGAAGCAUAUUUUGGAGGCAAAAAUAAAAUUAGAUGAGAGACACUUUGACAUUAAGUAUUAAAAUGGAAAAUUUUCUAUGGGAACGACUUAUCACAUCAUUUAAUACAUGGGUUGAAAAUUUGAAACACAAACAGGCAUAUUAUUUGUCCAAGUCCAAUAAGGGUAAUGGGUGAUUGAUGACCAAGUGAAAUUUGGUGGCCCAAUUAAUGAAGCCUAUUUUGGACGCAAAAAGAAGAAAAGGACAAGCGUCCAUAGCGAUAAUAAUUUAUAUACUGCUCAAAGAUUGUGAAUUGAAAGAUGUGGUUGGAUUGGUUGGAUUUUGAUUUUUGUCUAUCUAUUCUAGGCCGAUAGCAACAUUCUCACGGCAUAAUCCAAAAAUAAUUCAAGAUUCCACUUGACAUUCAAGAACAAUUCCACUUGGCAUUCAAAUAAAGUCAAGACUGUUUUAAUAAAACAAAAAGUGAGGCAUUUGUAAGAAAAGUUAUCAAUUUCAAUUUAAUUUAUGCUAUCUCAUGACUCAUCUCAUUUAAUUUAGCCAUCUGCAUUCAAAUAGCAUAAAUGGAUUUUGUAACGUAGCCCCUAUUGUCAAAAUAAUGUGAAGGGAAGACCGAUUAUGUGCUUUUUAAAUAAAUGAAUUCAUUCUUUCCCAAAAAAAAAAUAAAUUUAUUGAAUAAUUUAUCUUCAUUGUAUAUAAAUUUAUUGAUGUACUUUGAUUAUAUUGAACUGAUUAUAUAUGAGAUUUAAUUAAUAUUAAAAAACUGUCAUACUUAUUAAAUUUCAUAGGUAUUAAUUUUAUUACAAUAUUAAUCUUGAGUGAAUCUUACUUUCGUGAUUAUAAUCAUUAUUUCAUUUGAGUUACAAGCGGGAGCGACAUACAUUUGCAGUCAAGAUAAUACAAUAUCUUGGUAGGAGCAAUUAUAAGCAGUGAAAUUAUAGAUUAGUAAUAUAGAAUUUGUAUAACACAUUUCUUGACGAAUUUUUUGGUCAGAGUGUGUCACCAUAAUUAGUACGUUAAAAAUGAUCAUUAAAGAAAAUAAGUAAAUAUUAAGAAACAAAAUGUAAUUAAAUUGAUCGGAUAGUUGAGAUAUCCAUUUAUUUAACGAUAUGGUGUAAAUGAUUGUUCAAUAAAAAAUUAAUGUGGCGUGGGUCGAAUUAUUGUUCGAGAAUACUGUCCUAGAUAACACAUAAUUAUGGAGGUCAGUGCUAAUCUUUCAGUAGAGUAAAUUUGAAUUAAAUAAUCGAACUUGUUUAAUUACAAACAUAAUUAUUAUAGUCAAUAUUGUAUAUGCCCAAAUGAUAUCUGAGUUAGCCCACUUAAUUGAUUGCACCGUUAUUAGACUCAUAAGUAAGAUAACUAGUUAUUUGAGUCAAAACCUAUAUAUAUUAUUUGGUGAGAGAUGUUGAAAUUUUAACUUGAAUAUUGGGAAGGUAUAAAAGACAAAAAUUAAGUUUUGAAAGCUUGAAAAAGGUUUUGAAAAUUUUGUUCAUGCAAUUUGGUGAUGUUGAAAAUUGAAGGUGGCAACAAAUUGCACAUGCAAUUGUCGACAAAAAUACAUGACUUUAAUGCAUGCAAUGCAAGUUUCAGCCCAAUGUGAUGGCAAAUUGUAGCCAAAUUGGAAACGGUAGGUAAGCGUUGCUUGCCUAUAAAUAGAAAGGGGAAGGAAAAGCUUUAAAAUACAUCUUAAUUGAGAGAGUUGUGAGCAAUUGCAAGUGAAGCAAUUUGAGAGAUUUGAGAAAGCUUCCACUUGAAUGUUCUAGUGAGAAUUCAAUUGGGUGUAUUGGGGUUGUGGGUUUUGAAAGUUUUUUCCCACUUUUGUAAAUUUCCAUUUGUUAGUAAAAUUAUCUUUUAGUCUUUGUCCAUGAACGUAGGCUUUAGGGCGAACCAUGUAAAUUAUUGUGUCUUAUUUUCUUUGCAUUUGUUUAUUACCACAUUUAUAUUUUUUUAAAAGUCGCAAUCACCGUAAUUUGAUAAUUCCUCAAUCUACGCUUCCGCAACAAUUGGUAUCAGAGCUAGAGGUUUUUGCUUGGGGUAUACGACACUGUUCACUUAUACGGUAUUAUUCACGUAUACGAAACUUUUCACAGAUACGAUACUGUUCAUAUAUAUGGUGGAGAUGACCAUUUAUACUUGGGAGACAGUCAAUUGUAAGUAGUGUGUAUUUUUGCAUGUCUAGGGAAGUUCUUUCAACAAGGCGAUAAAAGCUUAAGAAGUAUUUAAGUGGGAUCGUUGUGACCUCUCCAUUCUCCUGCAAACUUUCCUGAUGCAUUUAUUCACGCAAAAUUAACAUCAUAAUGGUUGUUUUUCAAGUGUAAAUAGUUGUCGAAUGCACUGAUCAUUUGAGUUAAGAAUGAUGGCAGAGGCAUCAUCGUCGUCUUCAUCUGCGAGGACUAUUGUUACUAAUAAAAUAAGCCACCCCUAGGCGUUGUACUUCAUCAAUCAAGUGUAACUUGUGAACUGGCUUGUCUGCACUAUCCGUUAUCAUUCUCCUUACCUCUUCAUUGAGUACCUUGUGCCGUUCUUGAGUUUUAGCAAUUGUCUGAAGCACCAAACAAACAAAAAAAAUUACCAAAUUCAUACAAUAUUUUUCAAGCUACAUGCAACUAUUUUUUUUUUAAGAUAGGGUGUGGAUAAAGUCUAAAUUAGUUUUUUUUUAGUUCCUAUCUCUCCCAAGAUUUUAACACGGAUGGUCAUGCAAAAAAAAAUCAUUUUAAAACCACUCGGUUAAGCUCUUGAAGACAAUAAUGUAGGACGUUAUUUUCAAUAUUUUAGGAUUGUAGAAUUUUAUUAUUUUGAACUUUUUAUUUUAAUUGAAGUCUUUUAUGGUAUGUGAUUUAGUAUUUUAUUUCUAUUAUAAUUGUUAUUUAGUUUCUCUUUUUAAGUUAACUUAGGGAAGUGGAUUUCUUCUAUUAUAAAUAAAGAGGUCUCGUUAUUAUUUUC
rnacentral:lncRNA from 1 species